AUACCUUUCUCGGCCUUUUGGCUAAGAUCAAGUGUAGUAUCUGUUCUUAUCAGUUUAAUAUCUGAUAUGUGAGGCCCUGUCCUCACAACGAUAUUAAUUUUAUUUUUUAUGGGGAAGAGCCUACCAUGGUAGUUUGCUACCUUGGCUGUCACGUGUCGCCCUAGCAUUGCACUAUUGCUUGGUCUUGGCGCACCCCAA